rnacentral:rRNA from 1 species
ACCUGGUCUUGACAUCCCGGAGACCCUUAGGAAAACUAGGGGGUGGCUUCCAUCUGGUAAGAAUCUGGAGACAGGUGCUGCAUGGCUGUCGUCAGCUCGUGUCGUGAGAUGUUGGGUUAAGUCCCGCAACGAGCGCAACCCUUGCCUUUAGUUGCCAGCAGUUCGGCUGGGCACUCUAAAGGGACUGCCGGUGUUAAACCGGAGGAAGGUGGGGAUGACGUCAAGUCCUCAUGGCCUUUAUGACCAGGGCUACACACGUACUACAAUGGCCGAUACAAAGGGCAGCGACACUGCGAGGUGAAGCCAAUCCCGUAAAAUCGGUCUCAGUCCGGAUUGGAGUCUGCAACUCGCCUCCAUGAAGUCGGAAUCGCUAGUAACCGCAGAUCAGCUACGUUGCGGUGAAUACGUUCCCGGGCCUU